UGGCAUCAAUAUGUGCAGAUUUUGACAUGCGACGCCAGUGCAUUGACAGAUGUUGGUGGAUCAUGAGGCACCAUGCCAUCAAGUUGCACUGCAUACAAUUGUUCAAACAGAAGUGAUCAAGGCUAUGCAUUGGUAAGAUAUCCGCAUGAUGAAAGUUUAAAGAGAAAAUAGAUUGCUACAGUUGGAAGAAGCAAGAACUGGUCACCUAGUAGUUCUCAAAAACUUUGCGAGAUACAUUUUAAGCCAUCAGAAAUCGAAUUUGUUGCUAGACGCAAACGUGUAAAGUUUGAUGCAAUUCCAUCUCGUUUUUGUACGUGUUCUUCAAAAGAU